UAGAAGAUAAAGUGUGAUGGUUUGAUUCUC
rnacentral:piRNA from 1 species